AGAGCAACCGCUCCAGCCACGGCCACAUCCAGAAGAAGAUUCUGGAGAAGGUCUGUGGGUUCAAGUGACUGAGCCCCCCCCUCCACUUGCAGGAGAGGGCCCAACUGCACCCUCUUCGGUAUACCCCUCCACCACAGAGGCUGUAGUUCCUGUCCCAUUCCAGGUUGACCGGGAACCAUGCUCUUUGAGGCUUGGUCCUAUGGAUGGUAGGCGUCCUGUUCCACCUGCACAGGUGCCAGCGGACCUGCCACCUCCAGUCCUGACCCCUCCCCCUGGGUUGUCGACAUCUCAAGACGAGAACAACUCUGACAGCAAUGAAACUACCCUUAGGAGGACUGCCCGAGGCACGGCAGGGCAACACUCCAAUGUCCACCACCUCCCCCGUGGCGUAUAGAGGCAGAGUAAUGUGAUUGCAAGCUCUCCUUGACCUGUGUCUUGGCUAAUCGGAGUUCCUCUCCGAUCUUAAGCUGUUGCCCAUUUUCCAGUUAGCCUGUUUAUCGUCGGGGCGACGAUAAAGAACAAGGGGGUAGAUUGUAGCCAGUUCACCUUGUUUCUGUCUUUUCCCCAUGUCUCCCUGUUUUCCCUACAUGUCCCACACUGGCCUGCUCCCGCUAACUAAGGGGGCGUGGUGAUUAGUUACACACCGGAGUUCGUUCGCACUGAUUACUGGCCGGACAGUAUAAAACCACCCAGGUACGAAGAAGCGUUGUAAGCUCUGCCUGUUUAACCCCCUAGCGUGUCGGAUUUAGUCAUCAGCUUCGUGGUCACCGGCUAGUCUGCUCCUGCUGCCCGUGUGUUAGACACCAUCCCUUAUUCAUUCUACAGCUGAACGUGGGUGAGUGCUCCCCAUACGGCGCUUUGUGCACUAAUCGUAGUUACGAACAUAGGUAGCGCGGCCUUUUCCAUCUACGCGGGGUGCAUAGCGUGGGUCGU